AAGUUGCAAAAACAGCACAGUAGUUUCCAAUAUAUACCCCUCACCCAGCUUCCACAAAACCACGGGCCGAUGAUUAAAACCUGGAAAUUAACAAUGAUCCUGUCCUAUUAAUAGACUGCACUAAAAUCUCACCAGUUGCUCCACUCGUGUUUUUUCCUUGUCUAGAUCUUACUCACAUUUAGGUGUCAUGUCUUGUUUGUCUUCCCCAGUCUGGGAUGGUCCCCAGUCUUUUUCUGUCUGUCAUUACUGUGAUGCUUUGGAAGAACUCAGGCCAGUGGCUUUGUGGCACAUCUCUCCUUUUGGGUUUCCCUGAUGGUUUCUCAGGAUUAGUUGGAGGUUCUGCAUUCUUGGCAGGACCCCCAUGGAGUGAUGCUGUGUCCUGAGUAUUUCAUCAUGUGGAUGUGUCCUCAUACAGGUGACAUUAACUCUGAUCGCUUGGUUAAGGUGCUGUCUGCCAGGUUUCUGCACUGGAAAGGUACUAUUUUUUUUUUUUUUUUUGGUCAAAGGAGCAGGGUAUAAAAGGCAGGGCAUGAAAUCUGAGAGCAGGCAUGCAUCAGGAAUUAGGAACCAGGAACUGGGAGCUGAGGCUGCUGCUCUCUGAGGAAAAGGAGACUUUCAAGAAGAUUUAAAAAGAAUGGAGAAAGAAGAUUCAAGAAGAUGAAGAUGUCAAAUGCCUCAUUGCAAAAUAUAGAUUGGAAAGUGUUCCUUUAAUUUGGCAUUUUGUGGGUCAUUUGUGAUUUUGGUAAAUUAUGCAAUGUGAAAAAAUAGACAGUUUCUUUCAAAUGGCAAGCAAUUAAAGAAAAAAAAGUCAUAAGUGUGGGCUGUAGCAACAGUGAGGCUCUUAUUGUUGUCAUUGUCUGACAGAAAUCUGAACUCUGAUCCCACAAAUUUCUCUGCUCCCUUUUCCCUGCUCACUUUGAACUGAAGAACCUCUUUACUCCUUCCUUCCUUUCCCUCCCUCUUAUCUCCUUGCCUCCCUGUAGAUUCCAUCACAGCUUCCUCCAUCCUUUUUUUUCAAUUAUACUUUAAGUUCUAGGGUACAUGUGCACAACUUGCAGGUUUGUUACAUAUGUAUACAUGUGCCAUGUUGGUGUGCUGCACCCAUUAACUCGUCAUUUACAUUAGGUAUAUCUCCUAAUGCUAUCCCUCCCUCCACCGCACAACAGGCCCCAGUGUUUGAUGUUCCCCUUCCUGUGUCCAUGUGUUCUCAUUGUUCAGGAUUACAGGCGUGAGCCACCGCGCCCGGCCCCUGACUUUUUAAUGAUCGCCAUUCUAACUGGCAUGAGAUGGUAUCUCAUUGGGGAACAUCUUAAAAGAAAAGCAUAUAAUUGCCAUUUGCACUUCCUCACCUCUUUAUCCACUCUUCAGCCUACUGCAAAUUGACUUUUGACCUCUUUAAUCUACUGAAAUGGCUCAUGCAAAGAGACUUUUUAUAAAAAUCACAUAUAAUUUAGAUUUUUUAUUUUCUGCAUAAAUCUCUUUA
rnacentral:lncRNA from 1 species